AACGCACAUUGCGCCUCAGGGUAUUCCUUGAGGCAUGCCUGUUCGAGCGUCGUUUAAACCCACAAAGCAUUGCUUUGCGUUGAGUUUGUCUGACUAGUUUGAAAGACAUGCUCUAAAACGAUUGGCGUCCGACUCGGCCCAAAAUACAUCGACUUGUGUUUAUACGGCAGAGGAAGGUGACAGCCUCGACAAUUAUUUUAUAUCUGUCGACCUCGGAUCAGGCAAGACUACCCGCUGAACUUAA
rnacentral:misc_RNA from 1 species